rnacentral:tRNA from 1 species
GGAUUGUGGCUCAGUGGUAGAGUGCUCACCUCCCACACUCGAGGCCCUGGGUUUGAUCCUCAGCACCA